UAGGGAAUAUUGGUUAAUCUGCGAAAGCGGGAACCAGCAACGCCGCGUGCACGAUGACGGCCUUCGGGUUGUAAAGUGCUUUUUGAGAGGAUGAGGAAGGACAGUACUCUUAGAAUAAGCUUCGGCUAACUACGUGCCAGCAGCCGCGGUAAAACGUAGGAAGCGAGCGUUAUCCGGAUUUACUGGGCGUAAAGCGUGUGUAGGCGGUUUGAUAAGUUGGAUGUGAAAGCUCCUGGCUUAACUGGGAGAGGUCGUUCAAAACUAUCAGACUUGAGAGUGGUAGAGGGAGGUGGAAUUCCGGGUGUAGUGGUGAAAUGCGUAGAUAUCCGGAGGAACACCAGUGGCGAAAGCGGCCUCCUGGCCCAUUUCUGACGCUCAGACACGAAAGCUAAGGUAGCAAACG
rnacentral:rRNA from 1 species